rnacentral:rRNA from 1 species
GACAGAGGUUGCAAGCGUUGUUCGGAAUUACUGGGUGUAAAGGGCGUGUAGGCGGCGGAGCGUGUCCGGUGUGAAAUCCCUCAGCUUAACUGGGGAAAUGCAUCGGAAACUGUUUCGCUUGAGUGUGAAAGAGGGUGGCGGAAUUCCCAGAGUAGAGGUGAAAUUCGUAGAUACUGGGAGGAACACCUGAGGCGAAGGCGGCCACCUGGUUCACAACUGACGCUGAGACGCGAAAGCGUGGGGAGCAAACAGG